CGUUUAUCAUGCAGCAUAUAUAAAAACAGAGGUUCAUCUUUAUUUCUCUGUAAUAAUUUUUUUUUUCUAGUUUCAGGGAUAGGAACUGGUGGACUUCCUGGUUCUGGAGUGGGUGGUCUUGGAACUGGUGGACUUCCUGGUUCUGGUUUGGGAGUGGGUGGUCUUGGAACUGCAGGACUUCCUGGUUCUGGUUUGGGAAUUGGUGGCCUUGGCACUGGUGGAAUCCCUGGACUUGGUCCUGAAGGAUAUGCUGCAGCCAAAGCAAGAAAAUAUGCCCAUCUUGGACGUCCUGGUGGGACUUUAGGUACUGGAGGAUUGCCAGGUGGAGCAGCUGGUGUGUCUGGUGUUGGACUUGGUGGACUACCUGGUGGAGGUCUUGGGAGUGGUGGACAACCUGGAGGCGGACUUGGAGGGCUACCUGGAGGUGGACUUGGUGGAUUACCUGGUGGAGGAACUGGUGGACUACCUGGUGGUGGAGUUGGUGGUCUUCCUAGCAGUGGUGCUGGAGGACUCCUCGGCUCUGGAAUUGGAUAUGCAGAGGCAAAAGCUCGUAAAUAUGGUCUGCUUGGUGGAGGUGCUGCUUUAGGCCCAGGCACUGGAUUAGCUGCAGGUAUUCCAGGUGUAUUACCAGGCACUGGUGUCAGAAUAGUUGGGGCAGGGGGUAUACCCUGGCAUGGAUUAAUGCACAGGCUUGCAUAGGCUGCAGCCUAGGGGCCCCACGUGUGCAGGGGGCCUCGGAUUGGCCAGACAUUUUUUUUUUACUUAAGCGCGAACCAGGCAUGGCACGGCGCAUCAUUCCAGUUUCCAGUUUGGAUGGGCCAGACAAAUUGUGAAUGUUAAAUUUAAAACGUUAUCCAAUCACUGUUUAACCUAAUAAAAAUUACUGACUAAUAUACUGUUAAAUUAUC
ensembl:lncRNA